ensembl:snRNA U6 U6 spliceosomal RNA
GUGCUUGCUUCGGCAGCACAUAUGCUAAAAUUGCAACGAUACAGAGAAGAUUAGCAUGGCCCCUGCGCAAGGAUGACACACAAAUUCGUGAAGCCUUCCAUAUUUUU